GACGAACGCUGGCGGCGUGCUUAACACAUGCAAGUCGAACGGAAAGGCCCUGCUUGCAGGGUACUCGAGUGGCGAACGGGUGAGUAACACGUGGGUGAUCUGCCCUGCACUUCGGGAUAAGCUUGGGAAACUGGGUCUAAUACCGGAUAGGAACCAUCUUUAGUGUGGUGGUUGGAAAGUUUUUUCGGUGUAGGAUGAGCUCGCGGCCUAUCAGCUUGUUGGUGGGGUAAUGGCCUACCAAGGCGGCGACGGGUAGCCGGCCUGAGAGGGUGUACGGCCACAUUGGGACUGAGAUACGGCCCAGACUCCUACGGGAGGCAGCGGUGGGGAAUAUUGCACAAUGGGCGCGAGCCUGAUGCAGCGACGCCGCGUGGGGGAUGAAGGCCUUCGGGUUGUAAACUCCUUUCGCUAGGGACGAAGCUUUUUGUGACGGUACCUAGAUAAGAAGCACCGGCUAACUACGUG
rnacentral:rRNA from 1 species